rnacentral:lncRNA from 1 species
UUACGAAGACGAAGACGACGAUGACGAUGACGAUGAGGAUCCUGAUGAGGAAGAAGAAGAGGAGGAUGACGAGAAUCAAGUGGUGCCGUGGUCGGGGGACGAUUCACAAUCGCCGCCGCAGCCGCCGCCGCCGCCGGUGUCCAGUUCCUGUAGUAGUAUUAGUGAAGAAGACUUUUCGUUGAAACGGAUGCGUGAUUUUGGUGAUCUUUUUUCUGAUGUGAGCCUCUAUUUAGUUUUUUUUUCCUUUUAAUUUUCUUUUUUCAAUUUUGUUUUCAAUGCUCUGCUUGUUUUUUUUUUUUUCCUCUUCUUCUGUAUAACUUCUUGCAUAGAAUUGUGGGCGGAUCUGGCAGGAUGUGAUUUUUUUUUUUAAAAAAAAAAAAGUUUAAUAAACAUUUUUCUGUGAAUUAAGAAAUUAGAUGAAAGUAUAUAGACGAACUGUUUUGACUGUUGAACGAAGAGUAGUAAGACUCAAAUUCUUUUAUUUAUUUUAUAUUCUUACAUCUAACCUUAUGAAUAUUCUUUUUCAAAUGAAUGCAGGACGAAAUCGGGUGCUCUUCGCGACCAGUCACAAAUGAGGAAGCCGCCGCUUCAAUGAGCUCAUAUAGGCCAUUGAAACAGCCAAGACCAACGAUAUC